GCCUUUGUAGUCUAGCCCGGCCAUUACGCUGCCUUGGUAAGGCAGAUGUCGAGGGUUCAAGUCCCUCCGAAGGCUCCA
rnacentral:tRNA from 1 species